AUUGAACGCUGGCGGCAUGCCUUACACAUGCAAGUCGAACGGCAGCACGGGAGCAAUCCUGGUGGCGAGUGGCGAACGGGUGAGUAAUAUAUCGGAACGUGCCCAGUCGUGGGGGAUAACGCAGCGAAAGCUGUGCUAAUACCGCAUACGAUCUAAGGAUGAAAGCGGGGGAUCGCAAGACCUCGCGCGAUUGGAGCGGCCGAUAUCAGAUUAGCUAGUUGGUGGGGUAAAGGCCCACCAAGGCUACGAUCUGUAGCUGGUCUGAGAGGACGACCAGCCACACUGGAACUGGGACACGGUCCAGACGCCUACGGGAGGCAGCAGUGGGGAAUUUUGGACAAUGGGCGCAAGCCUGAUCCAGCAAUGCCGCGUGCAGGAUGAAGGCCUUCGGGUUGUAAACUGCUUUUGUACGGAACGAAACGGCCCUUUCUAAUACAGGGGGCUAAUGACGGUACCGUAAGAAUAAGCACCGGCUAACUACGUGCCAGCAGCCGCCGUAACAC
rnacentral:rRNA from 1 species